rnacentral:rRNA from 1 species
UACGGAGGGGGCUAGCGUUGUUCGGAAUUACUGGGCGUAAAGCGCGCGUAGGCGGCUUUGUAAGUUAGAGGUGAAAGCCCGGAGCUCAACUCCGGAAUUGCCUUUAAGACUGCAUCGCUAGAAUCAUGGAGAGGUGAGUGGAAUUCCGAGUGUAGAGGUGAAAUUCGUAGAUAUUCGGAAGAACACCAGUGGCGAAGGCGGCUCUCUGGUCUGUAACUGACGCUGAGGCGCGAAAGCGUGGGGAGCGAACAGG